rnacentral:rRNA from 1 species
UCUGGUCCUUUUGUGCCCGCCGCCGCGGUAAUACGUAGGGGGCAAGCGUUAUCCGGAUUUCCUGGGUGUAAAGGGAGCGUAGACGGCAUGGCAAGCCAGAUGUGAAAGCCCGGGGCUCAACCCCGGGACUGCAUUUGGAACUGUCAGGCUAGAGUGUCGGAGAGGAAAGCGGAAUUCCUAGUGUAGCGGUGAAAUGCGUAGAUAUUAGGAGGAACACCAGUGGCGAAGGCGGCUUUCUGGACGAUGACUGACGUUGAGGCUCGAAAGCGUGGGGAGCAAACAGG